rnacentral:rRNA from 1 species
AGACAAAAUCAAUUAAAAUUCUUUUUUUCUCCCUUUUCUCUCUCGGAGGGUGACUGCGGAAGGAUCAUUAAAGAAAUUUAAUUGAUUUGUCUGAGCUCGGAGAGAGACAUCUCUGGGGAGGACCAGUGUAGACACUCAGGAGGCUCCUAAAAUAUUUUCUCUGCUGUGAAUGCUAUUUCUCCUGCCUGCGCUUAAGUGCGCGGUUGGUGGGUGUUCUGCAGUGGGGGGAGGGAGCCGACAAAGACCUGGGAGUGUGCGUGGAUCUCUCUAUUCCAAAGGAGGUGUUUUAUCACACGACUCGACACUUUCUAAUUACUACACACAGUGGAGUUUACUUUACUACUAUUCUUUUGUUCGUUGGGGGAACGCUCUCUUUCGGGGGGGAGUUCUCCCAGUGGAUGCAAACACAAACAAAUAUUUUUUUAAACUAAUUCAGUCAACACAAGAUUUCUUUUAGUAGAAAACAACUUCAAAACUUUCAACAAUGGAUCUCUUGGUUCUCGCAUCGAUGAAGAACGCAGCGAAAUGCGAUACGUAAUGUGAAUUGCAGAAUUCCGUGAAUCAUCGAAUCUUUGAACGCACAUUGCGCCCUCUGGUAUUCCGGGGGGCAUGCCUGUUUGAGCGUCAUUUCCUUCUCAAACACGUUGUGUUUGGUAGUGAGUGAUACUCUCGUUUUUGAGUUAACUUGAAAUUGUAGGCCAUAUCAGUAUGUGGGACACGAGCGCAAGCUUCUCUAUUAAUCUGCUGCUCGUUUGCGCGAGCGGCGGGGGUUAAUACUGUAUUAGGUUUUACCAACUCGGUGUUGAUCUAGGGAGGGAUAUGUGAGUGUUCUGUGCGUGCUGGGCAGACAGACGUCUUUAAGUUUGACCUCAAAUCAGGUAGGGUUACCCGCUGAACUU